rnacentral:tRNA from 1 species
GGUUUGUGGCUUAGUGGUAGAGCGCUCACCUAGCAUGCAUGAGGCACUGGUUUCAAUCCCUGGCACCA